GGAAGGUAACGCCAGUGAGGAGUGGGAACGGUGGGAAGGUGACACCGGUGAGAAGUGGGAACCGCAGGAAGGUAACGCCGUUGAGGAGAAGUGGGAACGGAGGGAAGGUAACGCCAGUGAGGAGUGGGAACGGUGGGAAGGUGACACCGGUGAGAAGUGGGAACCGCAGGAAUGUAACGCCGUUGAGGAGAAGUGGGAACGGAGGGAAGGUAACGCCAGUGAGGAGUGGGAACGGUGGGAAGGUAACGCCAGUGAGGAGUGGGAACGGUGGGAAGGUGACACCGGUGAGAAGUGGGAACCGCAGGAAUGUAACGCCGUUGAGGAGAAGUGGGAACGGAGGGAAGGUAACGCCAGUGAGGAGUGGGAACGGUGGGAAGGUGACACCGGUGAGAAGUGGGAACAGUUGGUGAAUUCGCCUAAGGCUCUAAUGGCAGUUCCUUGUCGUAUUCUUGUGACUUUUACAUAUGUUUGACGUUGUAUCAAAAUGGCUGAUCCUUGGAGCGCAGGGAGGCGGCCGCAGGGUGAACAGUGCCCUCUGUGUAGGCUCCGGAGCAGAAUGGUCAUCAUGGACAGGCCGCCGGCUGCUGGGCUGUGACUGUUCUGAGGCUGAAAUGGGCAAACAGCCUUGCCUCCUCUCCACCUGCAGCUGCAAGCCUGGACAGUCGAGGCACCCCGGGAACCUCCCCUACGCUCAUGUCUUGCUCGUGCAUUUCUGAGCUCCCCGGCAGUUCAGCCUCCCUUGUAUUAAAUCCUGACAGGAAGCUUGGAUUAAGACCUCGGUAGUGCUAAAGCCGUUGCUCUCUGAACCCAUGCUCAUGGGGGAUGAAUCUUGUCUCCCCAAAAGAUAUGUUCGAGUCCUAAGCCCUGGUUCCUACAAACGUGACCAGUUUGGAAACAGGGUCUUCGCAGAUGUAAAAAGUUAAGGAUAUCAUGAUGAGAUCAUCUUGGAUUUAGUAUGGGCCUGAAAUCCGGUGCCUGGCAUCCUUAUGGGAGAAAGGAGAGGCUUGCAAAGAUGGAGGUGGGGCUGGGCGAUGCUGAGGACACCCGGAGUCACCAGAAGCAGAAGCGCCGAGGAGGGAUCUCCCUGGAGCGAGCAGCUCUGAGGGAGCGCAGGCCUACACCUCAAUCUUGGACUCUGGCUUCCGGAACCAUGAGGGAACAAGUGUCUUGUUUUAAGCUGCAGCCCAGGAAUCCGCCUCCCUGUGGCUCACCAGUCCCCUUGGGCACAUCUUCCCUCUCCUAAUGGGGUAAAAUCAGGGGCAAUGUGCUGUGACCUGUGGCUUUGGGGGUGCUCUCAGGAGCGGCCUGGGGCUGAGCAGGCAGGGAGCCUCUACCUGUACCUACUGUGCCUGCUCCCUGUGAGGGCUGGGAUGCCCCCCCGAUGCUGAGCAGGUGCCAGGAAUGUUGAUGGAUGGAUGGAUGGAGAGAGGGAUGUUGAUGGACGGAUGGAUGGAGGGAGGGAUGUUGAUGGACGGAUGGAUGGAGGGAGGGAUGUUGAUGGACGGAUGGAUGGAGGGAUGUUGAUGGACGGAUGGAUGGAGGAAGGGAUGUUGAUGGACGGAUGGAUGGAGGGAGGGAUGUUGAUGGACAGAUGGAGGGAGGGAGGAAUGUUGAUAGACAGAUGGAUGAAGGGAGGGAUUUUGAUGGACAGAUGGAGGGAGGGAGGAAUGUUGAUAGACAGAUGGAUGGAGGGAGGGAUGUUGACGGACAGAUGGAGGGAGGGAUGUUAAUGGACUUAUAGAAGGGAUGAAGGGACGGCCAGUCCACCACCAAGCAAGGAUGAAACCCUAGAUGCAAAUCAGGCUCCGAGUCAACUUAUGGGAGUUCUUUGAUAAAAACACAUAUUCAUAAAAUGAGUCACAAAGGCCCUUGCAUUUUUCAUUUUCAAUCUGCAUUUGUAAACAUCUUUACUCAGCUUCACUUUGUACAGGGAGGUCUUCGAAAUUUUAAUUUCAAGCUCAAAACAUGAGGGCUGUUAUUCUGGCCCACUUUUUUUUUCUUGGAAAAGAUAGGAAGCUCUUCGCCAAAAGAAAAAUAAGUCACAAGCUUAAUAAAUAACGAAGCACAAAGCAAACCACUCAUGCUCAAUUUUUCAUACUUCUAUGAAUAUUUCAGGAAAUAAUAGAUGGCCUUAGAAGACUAUCAUAAGGCUGGCAGGGACCCGGAGCUGGGGACAGCCACCUUCUUCUCUCAACCCUCUUGAUGUCAUUUGUGUAAAAUUAAUGCAGGAGUUGGUUUCAUUUUCUAAUUCAUCGAGAAAGGAUAUUUCUAUUCACAAUGGCAUCUUCCAGUUACCCAUCCAAGACUUCGGUGGUGCGGGGCAGGGGAGCCCCCAGGUGGGGCUGAGCCCCGACGGUUCUUGGCUUUACCCUGGAGGGAAUUCAAGGGCAAGCCGCAGGUAGAAGGAAAGAGCUUUAUUCAGGCGGCCGUGCCACAGCUCACAGCUCCCUGACUGCUCCUGCAGCGGGGCCGCCCCGUAGGCAGAGAGCAGCCGCUUGGGGCAGUUUUGCAGUCACACUUAUACCGCUUUUAAUCGCAUGCAGAUUAAGGGGCGAUUUAUGCAGAAAUUUCUAGGGAAGGGGUAGUAACUUUUGGGUCAUUGAGUCAUUGCCAUAGAAGGGGGCGGUAACACCCGGGUGUUGCUAUGGCAACGGAAAACUGACAGGCACUCGGGUGGGCGAGGCUUAGGGAAAGCUGCUUCCGCGAGCCCUGCUUUAACUAGUCAAUCCGGUCCGGAGUCCAAGUACUGCCUCUGGAGUCGACUCCCACCUCAAACCUCACUCGAAUGAUGGCGUCCCAGUCCUCUCUCAGAAGACGUCCAUCAGCAACGUGAUUCUGUCCUCCCAGCCAAGCUGGCAGCUCCCGGAGCCCCUGCCCUAUCGCUGGUCUCCCGGGCUGUGCAGGCCCUGCAGGGACUGUGAGCCCUCCUCACGCGGAGGAAGCAGAGGGGGCUGGACCUGCCGGCCUGGCACAUGCACGUGGAGAGGCCGACUGUUGUGCACACUCACGCAGGCACACACACACUUGCUCACACACACACUGAACUCAUGCUCACACAUGCCUGUCAGGCUCACACUCACACUCGCUCAUCCGUGCACUGACACUCAUACACGGCCAGCGUCCUAAGGCGGAAGAGUGAAGGAGAAAGGCCUGCACUCCAAGGCUGGGCUGCAAGUGCAGCGGGGGUGAGGGGUGGGGGAUCGCCGGAGCAG
rnacentral:lncRNA from 10 species